UACAGAGGGUGCGAGCGUUGUUCGGAAUUACUGGGCGUAAAGCGCGCGUAGGCGGCUUUGUAAGUUAGAGGUGAAAGCCCGGGGCUCAACCCCGGAAUUGCCUUUAAGACUGCAUCGCUUGAAUCCAGGAGAGGUGAGUGGGAAUUCCGAGUGUAGAGGUGAAAUUCGUAGAUAUUCGGAAGAACACCAGUGGCGAAGGCGGCUCACUGGACUGGUAUUGACGCUGAGGUGGCGAA
rnacentral:rRNA from 1 species